CGGUAUAUUGACCGUGCGAAGGUAGCAUAAUAAUUAGUCUUUUAAUUGAAGACUGGAAUGAAAGGUUGAACAAGAAGUUAGCUGUCUCUAAAUUAAAUUUUGAAUUUAACAUUUAAGUGAAAAGGCUUAAAUAUUUUAAAGGGACGAUAAGACCCUAUAAAUCUUUAUACUUGAUUUUAUAGAGUAAAAUAUUAAAAUAAUUUUUGUUCAAUAGGUUUGGGUAUUUUGUUGGGGCGACAGGAGUAUAAAAUGUAACUGCUCUAAAAUGAUAGUUAGUUGAUAUUUAGUUAAGUGAUCCUUUAAUAAAGAUGUUAGUUUAAGUUACUUUAGGGAUAACAGCGUAAUUUUUUUUGAGAGUCCAUAUCGAAAAAAAAGUUUGCGACCUCGAUGUUGAAUUAAAGAUCCUUUACGGUGCAAAAG
rnacentral:rRNA from 1 species